rnacentral:ncRNA from 1 species
GCAGAGUAGGAUUUUAUGUGUGGCGCAGGCCGGCAGGUUCGGCAUGCGUGAGUGUCAGAAAAACGGGGAGUUGUUUUCUGAACGAAAAGACCGGCUCUGGUGCAGAAGCAUCGGCGGCCGGGUCUGCAGUAUAAGGUUCGCAUCCCGCUGC